rnacentral:rRNA from 1 species
GACGAACGCUGGCGGCGUGCUUAACACAUGCAAGUCGAACGGUGACGAUCAAGCUUGCUUGGUCUGAACAGUGGCGAACGGGUGAGUAACACGUGAGUAACCUGCCCCAGACUCUGGGAUAACCCCGGGAAACCGGAGCUAAUACCGGAUAUGACAUGCCCCUGCAUGGGGAGUGUGUGGAAAGUUUUUCGGUCUGGGAUGGACUCGCGGCCUAUCAGCUUGUUGGUGAGGUAAUGGCUCACCAAGGCGACGACGGGUAGCCGGCCUGAGAGGGCGACCGGCCACACUGGGACUGAGACACGGCCCAGACUCCUACGGGAGGCAGCAGUGGGGAAUAUUGCACAAUGGGCGAAAGCCUGAUGCAGCGACGCCGCGUGAGGGAUGACGGCCUUCGGGUUGUAAACCUCUUUCAGCAGGGAAGAAGCGCAAGUGACGGUACCUGCAGAAGAAGCACCGGCUAACUACGUGCCAGCCGCCGCGGUAAGAC